rnacentral:rRNA from 1 species
GCAAGUCGAGCGGAUGAUGGGAGCUUGCUCCGUGGAUUCAGCGGCGGACGGGUGAGUAAUGCCUAGGAAUCUGCCUGGUAGUGGGGGACAACGUUUCGAAAGGAACGCUAAUACCGCAUACGUCCUACGGGAGAAAGCAGGGGACCUUCGGGCCUUGCGCUAUCAGAUGAGCCUAGGUCGGAUUAGCUUGUUGGUGAGGUAAUGGCUCACCAAGGCGACGAUCCGUAACUGGUCUGAGAGGAUGAUCAGUCACACUGGAACUGAGACACGGUCCAGACUCCUACGGGAGGCAGCAGUGGGGAAUAUUGGACAAUGGGCGAAAGCCUGAUCCAGCCAUGCCGCGUGUGUGAAGAAGGUCUUCGGAUUGUAAAGCACUUUAAGUUGGGAGGAAGGGUUGUAGAUUAAUACUCUGCAAUUUUGACGUUACCGACAGAAUAAGCACCGGCUAACUCUGUGCCAGCAGCCGCGGUAAUACAGAGGGUGCAAGCGUUAAUCGGAAUUACUGGGCGUAAAGCGCGCGUAGGUGGUUUGUUAAGUUGGAUGUGAAAGCCCCGGGCUCAACCUGGGAACUGCAUCCAAAACUGGCAAGCUAGAGUACGGUAGAGGGUGGUGGAAUUUCCUGUGUAGCGGUGAAAUGCGUAGAUAUAGGAAGGAACACCAGUGGCGAAGGCGACCACCUGGACUGAUACUGACACUGAGGUGCGAAAGCGUGGGGAGCAAACAGGAUUAGAUACCCUGGUAGUCCACGCCGUAAACGAUGUCAACUAGCCGUUGGAAUCCUUGAGAUUUUAGUGGCGCAUCUA